UUCCGGUUGAUCCUGCCGGAGGUCACUGCUAUUGGGAUUCGACUAAGCCAUGCGAGUCGAGAGGGUUCGGCCCUCGGCUGACGGCUCAGUAACACGUGGAUAAUCUGCCCUUAGGUGGAGGAUACCCUCGGGAAACUGAGAAUAAUACUCCAUAGGCCUAGGAUGCUGGAAUGCAUCUAGGCUCAAAGUUCCGGCGCCUAAGGAUGAGUCUGCGGACUAUCAGGUUGUAGUCAGGGUAAUGACCUGACUAGCCUACGACGGAUAUGGGUUGUGAGAGCAAUAACCCAGAGAUGAUAUCUGAGACACGAUAUCAGGCCCUACGGGGCGCAGCAGGCGCGAAAACUUCACACUGUGCGAAAGCGCGAUGAGGGAAUCCCAAGUGCUUGCUCGUAAGAGUAAGCUGUUUUUAUGUUUAAAACGCAUAGAGAGUAAGAGCUGGGUAAGACGGGUGCCAGCCGCCGCGGUAAUACCUGCAGCUCGAGUGGUGGCCGCUAUUAUUGGGCCUAAAACGUCCGUAGCCGGUUUAAUAAAUGCCUGGGUAAAUCGUGUAGCUCAACUAUACGAAUUCCAGGUAGACUGUUAAACUUGGGACUGGGAGAAGCUAGAGGUACUCCUGGGGUAGAGGUGAAAUUCUGUAAUCCUAGGGGGACCACCAGUGGCGAAAGCGUCUAGCUAGAACGGGUCUGACGGUGAGGGACGAAGCCCUGGGGCGCAAACCGGAUUAGAUACCCGGGUAGUCCAGGGUGUAAACGCUGCUUGCUUGAUGUUAGUCGGGCUCCGAGCCCGAUUAGUGUCGGAGAGAAGUUGUUAAGCAAGCUGCCUGGGAAGUACGGUCGCAAGACUGAAACUUAAAAGAAUUGGCGGGGAGCACAGCAACGGGUGAGCGUGCGUUUAAUGGAAUCAACGCCGGA
rnacentral:rRNA from 1 species